AGUGAACGCUGGCGGUAGGCCUAACACAUGCAAGUCGAACGGCAGCACAGUAAGAGCUUGCUCUUACGGGUGGCGAGUGGCGGACGGGUGAGGAAUACAUCGGAAUCUACUUUUUCGUGGGGGAUAACGUAGGGAAACUUACGCUAAUACCGCAUACGACCUACGGGUGAAAGCAGGAGAUCUUCGCACCUUGCGCGAUUGAAUUAGCCGAUGUCGGAUUAGCUAGUUGGCUGGGUAAAGGCCCACCAAGGCGACGAUCCGUAGCUGGUCUGAGAGGAUGAUCAGCCACACUGGAACUGAGACACGGUCCAGACUCCUACGGGAGGCAGCAGUGGGGAAUAUUGGACAAUGGGCGAAAGCCUGAUCCAGCCAUACCGCGUGGGUGAAGAAGGCCUUCGGGUUGUAAAGCCCUUUUGUUGGGAAAGAAAAGCAGCAGGUUAAUACCCCGCUGUUCUGACGGUACCCAAAGAAUAAGCACCGGCUAACUUCGUG
rnacentral:rRNA from 1 species